UUGACGGCACCUACGAUUUUCCGAAAAAGGGGAUCAUUUUUUUUUGUUUUUUCAUGAGAUUCCUUCGUGCUUGAUUUUAAUGGGGUUGGUGAUUGUGGAUUUGGGUGAGGAAGGUGAAGUCUGGUUUGAGAGAGAGAGAGAUCGAGGAAGGUGAAGUUUGGUUUAGGUGAGGAAGGUUGGUUUGAGAGAGAGAGAGAGAGGAAGUGCCGUCGUCGCCGGCGGUCAGAUGUAGUGAGAAGUUAGGUUGAAGAAGAAGAAGUUAAGUUGAAGGAAUUAACUUAUUAAUUUUGAUGAACUACAAU
rnacentral:lncRNA from 1 species